UACGUAGGGGGCAAGCGUUGUCCGGAUUUAUUGGGCGUAAAGAGCGUGUAGGCGGCCAGAUAGGUCCGUUGUGAAAACUCGAGGCUCAACCUCGAGACGCCGAUGGAAACCAUUUGGCUAGAGUCCGGAAGAGGAGAGUGGAAUUCCUGGUGUAGCGGUGAAAUGCGCAGAUAUCAGGAAGAACACCCGUGGCUAAGGCGGCUCUCUAGUACGGUACUGACGCUGAGACGCGAAAGCUAGGGGAGCAAACAGG
rnacentral:rRNA from 1 species